UACGUAGGGUGCGAGCGUUAAUCGGAAUUACUGGGCGUAAAGCGUGCGCAGGCGGUAAUGCAAGACAGAUGUGAAAUCCCCGGGCUUAACCUGGGAACUGCAUUUGUGACUGCGUAGCUAGGGUGCGGAAGAGGGAAGCGGAAUUUCCGGUGUAGCGGUGAAAUGCGUAGAUAUCGGAAGGAACACCAGUGGCGAAAGCGGCUUCCUGGUCCAGCACCGACGUUCAGGCACGAAAGCGUGGGGAGCAAACAGG
rnacentral:rRNA from 1 species